GCAUAUAAACCAUACAGCUCCGAUUUCGGAGUCCCGGGCAGGUAGUGGUUAAAGCAGCUGUCAACGCCCAGCAAAUGCACUCUGAGUCAUUCUUGUUUUGAACAUUAACGAUUGCUUUCUUGUGUGCCUGUUCUUUGGGCAACGGAAUGGAAGUCGCUCCCACAGGUUUAUACUCGACCACGUUGAUGUAAAACGCAAUGACUUGGUAAAAAAAACCAGCCUGAGCCUCUCUGUUUGUGAGCUUCGACUUCUUCAAGAUGUUUUGCUAUUUGUUCCUUCAAAACACGCAUUAUGUCCGGUUUAGAAAUCACCAUGUUAUUCUUGCUCGUAAAUGUGAAAACGCCAAAUUUUGUUUCGACUCUGGGCUUUUCCAUUUUGAACUUAACCUUUAUUGCUGUCUGCAACUUGUAAGAGUUUAACUCUUUAAACUCUGCCAACACUUGGCCUUCGAUAUACUUUUUAUAAAAGUCAAAAAAAGGUAUCAAGUCGUCGGCAAAGAAAGUAGGCUCUAGUUCCCAGUUUCUGUAGUUACCUUGAAAUCGCCGGAUUCUUCGGAUGUUUACCUCUUCGAUCACUUCUGGUUUAAUGUGUGAUCUAAUUGCGGCGAUUAUGUCUUUUCGUAGUACAUUGCCUUUUGUGCCUGGCCGUAGAGGGUAUGUCGUUAUCUUGUGCUAUUUGUAAGAGCUGACGGUAUGAUUGGCAUGUAAGAUUUCUAAAUUGUUGUUGGCCCGCUUGAAUUCCUUUUAUGAGUUCAGAUUUAGAAUGUUUUCUACGUUUAGCUGGUGAUAAUGAAAUGUUGUAUCGUUUGACAAAGUCAGAUAAAAAUGUUUUUUUCAAUCGUCUAAAGUCCAUUCAGAAAGGACGGCGUUGUGAUUUCUGUGGUGUUUUCAUGUCUCUAUAUAUAGGUAAAUAUUUAUUUUUUUUUCAGUUUUUCUCAGAGCUUCAGUUCUUUUGUUUGACAUCUCUAUUUAAAAAAAACUAUUUACUUAAGCCAGUAGUGAAUUUAUUUCAUUUUCCCUCAAAGCAUCGGGUGAGCACAGUUUUAACCGAGACUGGGGAAGUCCCGGGAAUUCCCUUUUUGGUUUGGGGAUAAUGAGGUCUGGGGGAAGUCCCUUUUUUGGUUUGGGGGGCUGCUGGGAGGGGUCAAAGGUCAUUGAGGUCAAACGUCACGGGGUUGUUUGGGUUGGGGAGGUGAGGGGGAAAGUCCCCAUUUUGAUUUGGGAUGCCUCUUUCUGCUUUUUUGACCUGGUUUUAAAAAGAGCGAAAACUGUCAAUGAGGUAUAGGAGGGUUUUUUACGAAAAUGAAAAGUGGUUUUAGAGAGCUGGUGUUUUGGAGGGUUUUUGAAAAAGGUCAAUGAGGUAUACGGGGGGUUUCAGUCGAUGAGGUCAUCGAGGGUUUGAGGAAAAGAGUGAAAAGGAGGCUGAUCCAGAACUUGCUUUGGCAUUACUACUGCAUCCUAUGCAUCCAUAAAUAGUUGGACGCCGUUUGCAUAGUGACAUGGCGUGCAUAAAUACCUCUGCAGUGUGACACAUUGAAAAUCUUUGCCUGGCUUCCCAAGCAACAAUGAACAGAUUAUGUGUACAGUGUAAUUGUACAUGUUGUUAUCAUACGCAAGCUGUCAACUUGUCGUCCUGCAUGCUUCUGACAUUUGUUAUACACCAUGGCCUCUAACGAUCCUGGCGGUCAUCUUCCUGGCUUUGUCUAUUUGCUGAAACUCCACAGGCAGUACACGAGCACCAUUUCAAGGUAAAAGCACACGAAUGCAUGGUAAAACUCUUACGGUGUGGUGGCUGCGCACGAUGGAGAAUCCAAGCUCGCAAAAUUCAAAACCAUCAUUCCUAUGCUGCAAUUAAGCCACAAGCUCGACAUCCAGACUAAUAAUUAUGACCUCGUUUUAGACACAAUACCAUUUUGCUGUAAAACAGUCGGGGAAACUGACACUGGCGUAUGGCAUAGGGAUGAUCUCCUUCUUAAAAGCCCUCUUGAGGUACACAUUAAAAUUUCAUCCUACUCCUUUGGAUGUACAUGUGCAAGCUUUGAAAAAAGUUCCAUUCAUAGACAACACUUGAUGAACCGUACUGUUCACAACCUUAUGAGACAUGUCUGGAAAAAAAAAACAAAGGUUUUCUUUAUGUAAAAUUGGAAUGUGUCACAAUUUCAAAGUUUUGGUUUAAGUGUGUUUUGGUGUACAUGUACAAUAUUUUUAAACGUUUGUUAUGCACCCUUCUAUCUUGCAGCCAUAGAAAACAAGAAAGAUCAACAUAACAAGCGGAAAAACCCGGGUCCGGAAUCAACUGAAGCUUAAAGAAAGAGAGGAAGGCCGUCAGUUGCCCAGCUGUUUCCCGAGGCCAUAGAAACAAUAAGGAAGUUCAUCGAAGAAAACGGGUUUGAAGCGCACAGGCAUCGGGAAACAGGAACUGGGAAAUGCGACUCUAUCUACCUGCCAUUCCAUCAAGAAACACCUGAUGGAAGUGAUACCUGACCUCGCCAAGUUAAGGCCAAAUUUGGGAGUUGACACGAUCCACCGUUGGAUGAAGGCUCCGUCUAUGAACUCUGGUGCUGCCAAGAACUACAAAGGGCUCAUUGACGCAAAGAUUCCUGCCAAGCGAAAUGACAAGAGAAGGGAGAAUAUAAAUGAGCACUACUAUUUGGCGAGAGUCAAGUAUGCGCGUGAGGCAUGCCGCAGGUUUGCAGAGUCUGGGGUGAUGUUCUCCAUAGACAACAAACAUAUAAGCUGAGGGUGAGCUCCUGCACGACAGCUGUUGACAGAAGAUGCAGCGUAACAAGAUACUUCCCAACCAGUGAUGCACCAAACUUGUAUGACCAGGACUUCCCGACUCCGUGCUACCUCAUCACCCCAUUGGGGUACAAGAUGCAGCGUAACAAGAUACUUCCCAACGAGCGAUGCACCAAACUUGUAUCACCGGGACUUUCCGACUCCGGGCCACCUCAUAACCCCAUCGUGGUACAUGGAAAUGUUACCCCCGUCCCCAGCCGAGAUCACAGUUGACAACCUUGGCAGACAGUGCUACUGGUAUUUAGAGUUUAGGUUCCUCAUGAGAAAUUGGCCUUCCUGAAUGCAGUGCCAUCAACGUUGUCAACAGGGGGCCACACACCAAAGUCACGCUCGCCAGUCAUUGCAAUGACUUGUUCACGCUGAUACACAACAGCAAGAAAACUGCGUCACGAUACUUGCAGAUGGUGGGUCCGAGUUCAAUGUCAACCAUGUGACAAAUGACUGGUUUGUGAUGAGACUCUUCAAGAACCUGAACCUCGAUGUUCUGCUAGGUACAGCAUACUGUCGAGGAUUUUCAGCAAGAAAUCCCAUCGAGCAUGUGUGGGGCGUCCUCACUAUGUAUGGCCUUAAACCUAAUGUCCUCCGUUAGUGCCCUCUUGUACACGCGGUCGCCUCCUGGUCUCAGCACAACCCCCCGUUGAAGUUGGCCAUUGGCUGCUUAGUCUCACUGAAGAUUGCGGACAUCAGCUGAGGACUAGGGACUGUCCACUUGAUGCACAAAAGAAACAGCCUUCAGAGUCCCCAUGCUGCAUUUCAAUCGACGAAUGUUCAUUACCUAAAGUGACAAAGUAUUCAGUACACUUGAGCACCGAGGGUUCACGGGCAACAGCAGUAGCGGCUCUCUCAGACACCAGAUCACCAAUCAUGUUGCACAAUGCAUCCACAGUACCCCUCAGACUGUUGAUAUGUUGGAUGAGGCGACCCUGCUUGGUCUCGAUGGAUAUCAAAUGCACCAGGAUGUCCUGUUGGUUGCAACCAAGGGGCAUGGACAGCAGAGUUGACAGGCCAGAUAUGUCAACUGGAGAGGCCUCAGCAGGUGGAGAAGGUGGCUGGAUGUACGAUGCAGGAGAUGAUGACCCUUCAAUGGCGGCACAGGUGUCCAGUGGUAACGGUACUUCGGGUGCAGGUGCUGGGUAUUCGGCCAAAAUGUUGUCUGUUGGGGAUGACGAACAAUCGAUGACCACGCAGGUUUACAUCACCGGGGUCGUUUGGGUUGCUGACGCUGCUUGAUGUUCUGCCCCGACACUGCUUGCCAGAGGUGACAAACCCUAGGUGACAGCGCAGGUAUGCAGUGAUGGUGGAACAGUCGGUCAAUUUUACGUUGCCACCUAAUUGAUGUGUGUUAUUUACAAAUGAGGACUUGGACCAGUCAAGUGAUGAUGGAGCAAUCUUAUCUUAUCCACACGAAGAACUAAUCAACAAGAAUCUCCCUGAGGAAGGUAGACGGGCCAACUCUUCCCGCUGGGAAUUUAGAGUGUGGCGGCUUUGGUAUUUGCCACUGGCCCUCCUUACUAAGCAAGCAAGGUAUAACAGAAAGUGAAGCUUUCAUCCACAGCAGCAUGAGUGACGACUCUUAUUGCUAACAGCAUCUGAAGACACUGUCGACUGCUUUAUUGAAAGAUGCAUUUUUCAGUGGCUUAAGAAGGUUUAGCACAUCAUCAUCCUCAAAAUGCUGCUAACUUACAUGUAGCUUCAACUUCAACUUAGCCUCAACAAAUUGAUCACCAUCUUGAUGAUGAGAUGACAGUGAUGUAUUCCCUGGCAACCAGAAACUAGUCAGCUAGAACUACCUAAAGAGAGGCUGUGUCAUAGACCCCUUGCAGCUGGUACUCGAUGGUAAUGGUUCCUUUAACAAGGCAGUGUGGUACUUGCAAUCCCUCUAUUGUUUGACAGCUCUUUCUUUAAAAAAAACAAAAGAUCCUGCAAUACACGAAACUGAUGACUUUUGAGACACUUGGAAACCAUAAACAGCAAAUAUUCUGGUCCUUUUUUAUUGUUUGCCUCACGUUUGAGCUAAAUGCAUGUAUGCUCCAGAUGGAACAACAAAACAGAUAAACAAAAUGAAAAUAAAUAAAGAAGGAAAAGGAACCAUUGUGUUUGCCACCUCCAAGCUCCUCAGAAGUCUUCAAGUAGUAAAGUCAGAAAUCUCGGGUUUUCAAAAAUGUAUUGUUUGGAAUUAAAGGAUCUUUGCAAUGCAGGUUUUUACCACAACCCUUGAAAAUGUGUCUUUUUGACUCAAUGAACCUUAUCACCAAAACCUUGUUUUCACUUUUGAGUGUGCUAGGUAUUUUGUUGAGUAGGAUGUGGAGAAUUUCCCACAAGUUUGAAUUUUAAGUUCUGAAUGGGCUCGAAUGAUGUUCUCGCAAUGUUUAGAACCUACCACAUUGGGGAAAUUUUUUUUUUAAUCUUAAAAACCACUGAGUCAUUGUUAACUGCACUUUUAUUGUUUUUUUUGUCAGAUGGUAUACUCUUUGGAAUAUGGUUUUUGGCAUCCAGGCCUGAUUUUCCAAGGACUGAGUCAAAGAUAUAUGUGGUAUUUUUAGUAUUUAGCAUGUGUCCCUUUAAAGAAUGACUCUACCUCCUUCAAAUAAACAAGCCCAAUUAUUCCUGCCAAAGGUUUGAUUUCAUACCUGACCUGUUUUUAGUCAGUAGCCUGGGAAUAUGUUGUCAUCAUAGCAGCACAUUCAAGGCCACACCGGAGCAUGCUAGUACAUUCAAUCUGCAAGUGCUCUGUACCGACUGAAUAGAUUGUGCAGGCCUUCUUACUGGUUGUACUGCCCACGAUGGCUCCACCUGCUGAGAGAACCAGAUCUGCUACAAGCCAUGUUAUUUUGGAUAUCCGUCAGAAUUUGUUGGAAAUCAUGUUCUGCCCACGAGAUUGGACUGCUGUCAUUGAGUUCUGAGUUUAAGAUGAGUAAAACUGAGUUCUGGUGAAGUGAAGCAUUCCCAACAGAUCAACCUCGGAGUGAGAGAGAUUUAUACUGGAGUGGCAACUGAAGUGAUUGUAAUUUGGCAACGUCUCAGGCAGAUGCAGGGGCAUAGAACAUUAGGAAGUGGUACAAACAGAGAGUAAAAUUCAGCUAUAUGUCUGAAGCUGUGACAUUCAAGAUUAAGAGAUUCAAGGAGUAUCAGCCUAGUCUUCAAAAUAUUCUACUCAUCUGCACAUGUAAAUGCAAAACUUUCAAUCACUCUGAGUGCAGAGACAACUGUACAACCCAUCCCAGAGACAGCAAACCAGACCGCAAUUGUGUCCAUUAAAACUGUGAUUAUCACGAAAACAAGGUUCCAGAAAGAGAAUUCGGAAGAAACAAAGAGGAAAAAGAGAGAGAAAAUAUGAACCUGAAAAAUUGGUUCACAAAACAACCCCAAAAGGAACCUGUGAGGGAGUGAGAUGGUUGAGACUGAGGGCAGUGAUGUUGAAUUCGAGUCCCACCAUCAUGUGAAAACACAGAAACCUCUGCCAACACUAGCCCAAGUUUGUGCCCGGUAUGGAUUCAUUUACAGAGCUGGAGAAACUACUGCAACUGUAACACUCACUGAUUUCAACGUUGUAUCCAAAGAUGACAAACAGUAAGAGUUGAUCAUCACAAACUGGCAAGGGAAAGGAACGUCUUCGACGACAAAUACAACAUGAAGAAGAAUCUGGUUGGAAGGAGAAUAUCAGUAAUAUAUACAUAUGGUUGGUAACAGAGUCUACUCAAGGUCAGUCAUUGAAGACCAUUAUUGCAGAGCCAGGGGCAUAAUUGCAGCAUGUUACCCGGAAGUGAGCAAGAGGUUCUACUUUCAAAUAACUUACCAGACAAAAUAAUGGCUGUAAUGUCAGUGUUGGAAGGCAGGCAGGUGCCACCCAUCAGCAUGACUACUGCAAAGGCAGAUGCAUGUUGCAGGGCAAUGAAUUACCAUUCAGAGCACUCUUUACCCUCGUCUGUGAUGGUCAAACUUCAGGCACGUAGUCAUUCAGUGGACUGUUAGGGAAAAGAUUGCAGGAAUGGCUGUGCUCACAUGGAGUGGUUGAUUUUGGACAAAUCCCAGCUUCUCACUGUCCUUUUUUUGCCUCCUGAUGACAUCGUGGAAGGUCUUAGGAUCAGCAUCUUCUGCAUAGACUAGCUGUGCCAGGCAGUCAUCAGAGGAAACCUACUGGAGAAGAUGACCUCGGACUCUUGGAGUCAGUUCCUGUGUCCUGGUCCUAUUCCCCAUGCUUGAGCUCAGAGAAUGUUAUGCCUUUUGUAGGAGGCAAGCAUCACUCUCUUAAAACUUCUGUUGUGGUCAAGUUGGAUGCCCCAUGCAAUCACCAUCAAACAUUACUCACUUCAUACUGAUGGGCACAAGACCGUUUUGUCGUGUUGACUCUGUUGACAAGCCUUAAUGAGAAAUAUCUGUAGAAGCAGGUUGCCAAAAAGCCAUUCAGUGCAGUGCUUUCUAUGCUCAUCCAGAGAACCUACUGCUGUCUGUUUCUGAUAGUGAACCCUAAGAUUCCAGAGGGGGCCCUACUCCAAGUCAUGGAGAUUCGUAAUGAAGUAGGCUCUGAGUCAACAAGUUGCACCAUUACAGGCCAGGAGAAGAGAACCUUGAUUGUGUGGAUGUUAAGGGGGAACAGUGAUAAGGAAGUGGAGAUAUGGUAGAGUAUGAUGAAUUUCUAUGGGCUACACCCAUAGGUCCUUCAGUUUGCCCAUGGUACAAUUCUAUGCAACCUCGUACUGUCUGAUGAUUGACUUGAACAAGGAAGUACUAACCGAACCACCAUCGAUAAAAAAGAGAUAAAAAUCAAAUGAGGAACUUCAAGAAAUGAAGUACAACCCUGUUUUGUGCCAGUAUAUCCAUGUCAACACACAGUCAGUAGAGCGAGCAUUCAAAUUUGUAUCAGAGGCCUGUCAGGCGGUGCAUGGAAUGGAUUUUUCAGACAGAGACUGUCUUUAAGAUAGUGAAUGAAAACAAAGCAGGACUUAUAGGCAUGCUUACGUAAGGCAUGUAAUGAGUGUUUCCCACUCUCUUUGAUGUCCUCUAUACACUGUUCUUUUUGUGGAUGCAAUGCUAUUUUUCUCACCGUAUCCUGGCAACAAGAUAUCUAAUUAAAUGCCCUACAUGAUGAAACUGUAUUAGAGUAUUUCAUUUUAUUAACUGCUUUCAAAAAUGGCAACAACGAGAGAAAACUCCGCAAAAAAAACCAACUUAAGCUAAAAGCACAGAGGGAAAGAAAAAAUGAGAUGUUCUGUGUCUGUAACAGAACAGGGCUUUUUUGCAUUUCUAAGCUUUUAUUAAAAAAUGUUUCAACCGAAUGGGACAUGUACUUAAAGAGAUAUAGGUUUCUAAAUGAUAAAUCACGUGACUUGCCACGUGAUGACGUUUAUGAUCACAUGAUGUUAAUUUUCGUCUGUAGCACUUCCCUUUAUGUCUAUCUGCAAAGUGUCAACCCAGGAUAUAUAAUUCAGGUUUGCACCUGAAAGGCCAUAUCACGACACGAGAAGACGUCAUAAAGAUUCUUGUCUUGGAUCCAGUACUGUAGCUGGUGGAUUACUGUAGAGUGAGCAAGUAAUGUAUAGUCAGUCAGAUCGACAAGUGCCAAAAUUUGGCUGUUGGGGAAAUGUGUACGAAACACAUAGGGAAAAAUUAAAUAUUCGACAUUCUAUAAUAAAUCGGGUGAUGACGUCAUCAUGACCUCAUACUUCCAGAAUCAUCUAUGCUACUCGGUCACUGCUUGGGGUAACUUUGAUGAAAAUACGAACCAGCAAAGGGACUAAAGUCCUGAGUAGAAAAACCCUGUACAAAAUGAAUGGGAUUUUGGAAGAACCAGAAGAAACUAGAUUCGUUGUCUGUCGUUUUGACAGAACAACUGGCUUGUGCAUAUUUCAAGAGCUUGAGGGCUGUUUAUUAUUGUUGAAAUUUGAAAAUUGCAUGUGAGCUGUAGUUAGUUGUGAUUCACAUCCAUCACCAAUUUUGAAUUGUAAGCCACUUCUGGUUUCAACCUGAGCCAAGGGUCACGUGACUUUACGCACACGAGAUAAAAAUAAGAUCUUAAUUCACCUACAGCAUAACGCAAACAGCAAGUCGUAGGAAAUCACAGCUGAUUGUGUGUACAAAGUGAACAGGAUUUUGAGAAUAGGAAGAAAUGAAAAGAUGGAUUUGUUUUUUGCAAAUGCAAAAUAGCCAAUAAAAAAAUUGCUUAACCAUAGCUCUGCAUUUUUUAAGAAAAAAAUUGUUAGUUUUUAAAAUUUUUGUAUUCGCUGUGGUAGGUCUUAAAUAUAAGGGGAACAUUAUUCUAUCCCAUUCAGAACUAAAAAUGUAAACUUUCUGGAAAUUCACUACAUCUCACUAAUGAGUAUUUCUACAUUCAUGAGGAAAACUGUUACUGUUGCAGGGCGUGUGCACAAGCGACUGUUGGAUUUUAUUUUGCCGGUCAAAAUUACCUUUUUGUUUCUUUGUUUAUUCAUCUUUAAAGUACAUGGCAAUAUGCCAACAAGUAGCUCUUUUCAGAAACUUUUUUUUAUCGAACAUGAAAAAAUCAUGUGAACAAAAAACCGAUGAUAACCAGUGGAAACCAGCGUCUUGGUUACAGCAGCCCAGUUGUCCAGAAAAGCAUAGACCAUUUUUGAAUCGUUUGUUAAAGGUGCAAUGUUUUUUAACACACUCAUUCCAAAAGGGAUGUAGAGGUGUCAUACACAGAAAAGAGUGUAGAGUAACAAUAAGGUGUAUCUCAGAAAUAGUCAUCGUUUGGCUCCGUUAAUUUUAAGGAACAUUCUAAUACAAAUUCAGAUUACAUCACCAAUGUAGCGUAUGUUUUGAUGAAAAAGUCAACAUCCUUUAGGUUUCUAAAAAGGUUGAAAGUUUAAUCGUCAAAUUAAAUCUAAAAACUGAAAUUUACAGUUUCAGAUUAUGAAUGAAUAUUAGGUUGCUUUUCCCUCAGUUUUUCAGACAUAAUACACCCUUAUCAUUUUAUACGUUUAAAAUUAGUUUAAAGUACCUUUAAUGUACCUUCUCGUACGCAUAUUUUGAGUUAGUUUUACUUACUGAAAUCUGCCGUCUUUCUGGCUCAGUCUGAUGAGUUUUUAGCAUAUUGUUUAAAGGUAUUGUUUUGUAUGUUAAGAAAGAAAUUUCUCUACCGUUUUUUCCGAUCAAUAAUGCGGGACGAACUAGUUUUCAGAUGUCAUUUAAGUUCAGCAGAUUUAAGAGCUAUUGGCUUGAGAAAUCAAAACCUAUAUGUUACCCCCCUUCCUCGCAAAAAGUACACUCUCCAGGAGCAAGGCGUAUAAUUGUCGUUUGAACCGUAAACACAAGGGUUUUUUUGUUUAAUAUUUUUGACGGUCUUGUCUUCGCGUAUGUUACGCGUUAGCUUUGUUUUAUAAACGUUCAACUCGAAUAGUCUGUCGCAAGAACAAAGCAAUAGUUUACAUGUACUUUCGUUCCGUUCUUGUGUUGGCAUUUUUUAAUUGCCCAACGCAGGCUCUGCCCCUGAUAAUAUUUCAGCAAGGUUUAAUUGAAUCUAGAGGAUGCUUUGAGCUUGUAAAAGCAUUCUAUAUUUUGUUUUGCUCUACGUUGUUCAUGAAAAAGAAAAUAACACCCGAAGUGUAUUCCAAAAAUAAUGAAGUGUAAUAAACUGUCAAAACGAAAAGUUUACAACCUGCGUUUGAAGGGCAAUAUUUUGUCCAUGGGAAACCAUUGAUAUUGAAACUUGGUCGUUAAUUUAUAUGACUGAUUUGUAGUGCAGGUCCCACUUUUGAUCUCAACCUCCUUGACCAAUCCAAGACUGCUCAAAUUGGAGAAAUUGGCGCCCUUUUAAAUUCCAAUAUAUGGGCUUAAAGUUACCAUUAGAAAGAGUUUCUACCGUAAAUGUUUGGCGCAUUGUGGAGGUGCUGUACUUGAAAGUGUGAAAAUUCAGAUUGAGGAA